AGACAAUCCAUUCAUUGGCACCUUCUGAUACUACGAAUUUCAAACCAAUAUCAGUGGCGAACAUUGUCAGAAUAGUUUUGGUGGUUUUUCUCUUGCCCUUGAUAGUUUUUGUCUACAAAUGUACCCUGAAGAGUGUGCAGGAAAUGAAUUUGCCAUAACUGUCGCUGUUUAUUUUCCUGAUCUGCUUGUUGUAAUGGAUUUUUCACAAGUUUGCUGAACAUAGAAGCGUAGAUUUUGAUAACAUAGUAUCAUAGUAGAUGAGGUUGAAAGAAGACGGAAAGAAAAUGGAAAGAAGACGGAAGUCCAGCGAAUUCAACCUACACAGAGCCUUACUUCAUUUACAAUAAAGAAGCUGCCAAUUUGACAUUAAUAGAAUUAGAAAGCUGACCCACUUAACACAAGCAAUCAUAUCCCUGAAUUCUGUAUCUAAGCUAUUUUUAAAUGUAUCUAAGUUAUUUGUAGUCGCUGCCUCCUUGGUCAAUGAGUUCCACAAUUUGAUUGGUCUCACAGUGAAAAAACAUUUAUGUUACUGGAGAUUAAAUCUAUGUUCCUUUAGCCUUAAAGUAUGACCUCCUAUCACAAACAAUUGCCUUGGAGAAAACAGCGCAACUUCCAACUCUGUACAUGGGCCUUGAAUAUAUAUAUGUAAAGUAAUCAUAUCACUUCUCAAGCGCCUUUUUCUAGAGUUAACAGACUGAAUUUUGCUUAAUGUUCCUCAUAGCAAAAAUCCUCUAUUCCCCUUAUUAGUUUUGUAGCCCUUCUCUGAAAUUUUUCUUAUCCUGCAAUAUCCUUUUUAUUUCAAAUUGGUCCCCAAAAUCUCCCUCCAUAUUUAAAGUGUGGUCUUACCAUGGAGUUAUAUAGUGACAGCAUUGUGCUUUCUUCUUUUUUCAAUACAUACUAAUAUCUAUUUGCUUUAGUAGCUGCUGCCUUGCAUUGCACGCUUAGCUUGUUAUCUGUAAGUACACCUGGAUCCUUUUCCUUCUUUGUUUUGCUAAGUCUAGUCCAAUUUAAACAAUAGGCAGCCUGCAUAUUUUUACUUCCAAAAUGUAGAAUCUUACAUUUAUCAAUAUUAAAUCUCAUUUGCCAUUUA